rnacentral:misc_RNA from 1 species
AAGUCGUAACAAGGUUUCCGUAGGUGAACCUGCGGAAGGAUCAUUAUUGAAGGGGAAAAAAACUUCCCCAAAAAGGAUGUAGGCCAGCCUAAAUUUGGCUGGCACACACUGGCUAUGAAACCCUUGUCUAUAAGUACUCUUGUUUCCUCGGCAGGCUUGCCUGCCAAUGGGGACCCUAAUCAAUCUUUCAAUAUUGUUGUAACCGUAAUCAAACAAAUAAUCAAAACUUUCAACAACGGAUCUCUUGGUUCUG